GGGGAGCAAGAUAUUAGUACCAGCAGAUAUCUUGGAGAAAGAAGUGUUUGUCUAUCCAUAUGUGGAGUACUCGGCUUGAAAUAGACCAGAUAUGUUUUAAUGGAGAAAGAAGUGUUCGUCUAUCCAUAUGUGGAGUACUCGGCUUGAAAUAGACCAGAUAUGUUUUAAUGGAGAAAGAAGUGUUCGUCUACAUGCAGUGUAAGGAACAGAGGUUUCCAAAGCUUGUUGAUUAUGAGAAAAUUGAUAAGAGUGCAUUGCUUCUGUUACCAGCAAGAAUGACAUUUAUUUUUCUAAUAUUCCCUAGCACAGUGACUGAAAUUCUCACAAACGAUAAUUUGAAUGUACA
rnacentral:misc_RNA from 1 species